AAAACCAGCCACGUUUCCAACCAGCAUAAAAACAAACAAAAAAAGAUGUUGCAAGAUUACACGUUGAGUGGAAAGUCACAAGGUGGCCUCGUGUCGAAUGUCACAAGCCUCAUUAAGAAGUGAUUUAAGACUUUUUCUCAUUGCGGGACACUUCCUGUUUCAGUUGAAUGCAUUUGGCCUGCUGGCUGAUGAGUGGAAAUUUCCGAUUGGAGGAGGUUCUGCUCUGGUCCAUUGUGCCUCAUAAAAUGGCCGACGGCUAUAGAAAAGAGGACUGGCAGGACAAAGCUCAGCCUGGAGCUCUUCUUUUACUGCUGCAUCUGGUUUCCAUAAGCGCAAAGAUGUCAUCACAAAGACGGGAGGGGGGGUCCAUGUGAGGCCGAAAUCAGAGCGAGCGGCAAGAUUGCUUUGAUCGGGUCUCCAUCUCAGGUUUCCUUCCAGCUUUGCUUUGCAAUCUAUAGAAGGUGCGGCCACGUGACAACAGAGGAACAUAUUGAAUCCAGACAAAAGUCAACCAGACGUGCCGAGAUCAGAGAGGUGGUCUAUGAAAGAGGAGCUUAGUAUGUCUGCGUGUUGAGUGCCGGACACAAAUGCGGUUUCACUGUGGAGGGGAAGCAUGCGUGGGAUGCUGGUGGGUGAGGACUGCUUACAGGGCAAAAGAAUAUUGCUUUUACAGGGUACUUCUUACCAGGAGCGGUCUUGCUCAGCUGACUGGUUGGUACCGUUGACCCCAGCUGCGGACAAGACGCAGGUGGUCCUCCAGCUGCUACUAUGGAUUCGGAGAAGAAGAAAAACAGUAGACUUAAUAUGCAGGGGACACUAGCAACCCACAAAUAAUAAUAAAUGAAAUGGGAUUACUUACAAGGGUAAAGUUUGCAAUGCCAUAUGAGCUCCACGUGAAGCUCUGGAGAAGACAAGACCCGGAAACAAAAUACGCCAUCAACAAUAGCUUAACGCCCUCUAGUGGCCGGAGGAAACCUCUGCAGUAGAUACAGCAGCUCUAUUUUCUUCGUUAAGCGCCCAAAUCGACUGCCUUUAACUUCAAACUUUUCUUUUGUCCCCCAUCAUGAGGGUUUGUGUAUAAAAGCUUGCUUUCUCUAGGAAAUCUCCGUCUCGAUCCCGUUUUGUCUCCUACUUACUUUCUUUCCUAUUUGCUUCGACAUCUGAAGUGUCCCAGUUGUUUGUCUGCCAGAUAAGAUGGCAAAGGAUUCACCGGUCCAGACGCGUGGACUUG